rnacentral:rRNA from 1 species
GGCGGCGUGCUUAACACAUGCAAGUCACGGGGGCCCGCAAGGGCAACCGGCGAACGGGUGCGUAACACGUGAGCAACCUGCCUUUGUGUGGGGGAUAGCCGGGCUAACGCCCGGGUAAUACCGCAUACGGUCGCUGGGGGGAGUCCCUCGGCGAAGAAACCUCCGGGGCACAGAGAGGGGCUCGCGGCCUAUCAGCUAGUUGGCGGGGUAAUGGCCCACCAAGGCGACGACGGGUAGCUGGUCUGAGAGGAUGGCCAGCCACAUUGGGACUGAGAGACGGCCCAGACUCCUACGGGAGGCAGCAGUGGGGAAUCUUGCGCAAUGGCCGAAAGGCUGACGCAGCGACGCCGCGUGUGGGAGGACGCCUUUCGGGGUGUAAACCACUGUUGCCCGGGACGAACAUCUUCUUUCGAGGANACUGACGGUACCGGGUGAGGAAGCACCGGCUAACUCCGUGCCAGCAGCCGCGGUAAUAC